AUGGUUAGUGGGAUUCGCUCCCACGGUUGGGCGCCAAAACAAGGCUGGGAUGAUCAUUCUAGAGCUUCAAGGAAAUCCCCUCCACCGCCGGCCUCCUAUCCUCUCCCAAUCCACGAGUGUGUGCAGCCCCGAGCGCUGCAGCCGGCCAGCCAGGCCUCCGCACGACCGCCGCCACCGCCACCGCCACCCUCGCCCCUCCCCUCACCAGAAGACGACGAGAAGAGAAUAGGUCAGGCAGUGGCUCUCAGUCCCAAAUCCGCCAAGGGCUUGGACCUAGAAAUCCAUGUCCAUGGCCGAGGGCCUGGACCUGGAGAUCCACAUCCAUGGCCGAGGGCUAGGACCUGGAGCUCCACCUUCAUGGCGUUGGCUGCAUCUCCCCAAUUGCGAGCUCGCGCGCCUGGACAGGACCUCCAUCCGUCCGUAUGCUUCUACUCCGCUCAGCCGACGACGCCAUGGCCGCCAGGUAGGCAAGGUGAGGUGAGGCAGCAGAGGACUACCCCAAGCGCCUACAAGCCCUCCUUCCUCCACAACAAUGAACAGGUCCACCGGAGUGAUGCUUUCUUCAUAUGUAAUUCUAUUAGAGAUAUGUUGGAUGUUCAUGCAGAGCCAUGGACCAUUCUAUUCUCUGUGACCCCGGCGACGGAGGCUGCUAGGACGGAGUUGAUGGCUCCGGCCAGCGAAUGGAAGGCAGAUGGCGAGUGGGUCACUGUAUUCGGUUUAACUGAUGCAAUUUUCGUACUAACAAGUUUUCACUUUCCCGACGUGGGCGCAAGGGCGGACUUUGCCGUGAAGCACGGUGGCCACGUCGAACAGACGAUCGUCCAGGUGAUUUUGACACCGGAGGUCUUCGAGGUGGAGGUCCUCGACGCCACCGUCCGAGGGAGUGAGGAUUCGGCUCUCACACAGGCGACAGCGCGGCGGGGCACGCCCGCUACGUCCGUACUUCGCCGGCCGCUGUCCACAGUUGCCCACCCAGCGAGGCAGCGAGCCUCCUCCUUCUCCGGCCUCUCUCUGCCGUCGACGCCUCGGCCUCGCCCGUCCCCCGCCCGCCAUCUCUCAUCUGCUGAGCCGUCAAUCUUACGGAACGAGCGGUCGCAGCUGCUCCGGUCGCCGGCUAGAUCUGCAGCGCCAUCCCUCCACCCGCUCACCACCGUGAUCUACCUGCCGUCACCGGUCCUCUCCCUCUGCCGCACCUCCGACUGA
rnacentral:rRNA from 1 species